rnacentral:rRNA from 1 species
GGCUUAUUGACAAUAAUUUUAGGUCUGGCCUGCCCUAUGAGGAGUUUAAUGGCCGCGGUAUAUUGACCGUGCAAAGGUAGCAUAAUCAUUAGUUUUUUAAAUGAAAGCUGGAAUGAAAGGUUUGAUGAAAAAUUAGCUGUCUCUAUAAGAAUUUAUUAGAAUUUUAUUUUUAAGUUAAAAAGCUUAAAUUUUAGUGGAAGACGAGAAGACCCUAUAGAUUUUUAUAGUUAUAGUAAUACAUUAAUUUAAAGUAGUUGAAAUUUUAUAUUAUUAUUAUUAUUUUGUUGGGGUGAUAGAAAAAUUAGAAAAACUUUUUUUUUAUUUUUACAUUAAUUUGUGAUUUUUUUGAUCCUAGAGUUAAGAUUAGAAGAGUAAAUUACCUUAGGGAUAACAGCGUAAUUUUUUAAAGAGUUCUUAUCGGAAAAAAAGAUUGCGACCUCGAUGUUGGAUUAAAAUUAAGUUAUGGUGUAGAGGCUAUAAUGUUAGGUCUGUUCGACCUUUAAAAUUUUACAUGAUCUGAGUUUAAACCGGUGUAAG